AACCUAUCAUUCAAACCAUAAUCUGAUAUCUCAGAUGAAUGACAAAUAUUCUGGGGUUAUCAGAGAAAUGUGGUCACACCUGUAGACCUUUUACCAUCCACAUGACUAUGUUAAACACAUUUUGUGUAGUGGGACUCUUUGGAGCCCAAGGAUUAAUUUUAGACAAAAUGUUAGUGUCCUUCAUGAAUAUUCAUACAGCAAACUGUAUAUUGGGAGGAGCUUAAAAUUAAAGCAGUGGUGGAAAUUCUUCUCUGAAAACUGAAACGUUCAGCUUCCAUUGUUGUUCGUUGGCUAACUCACUUCAAACAUGUUCACUUUCUGGUUAGUUCCUUUAUUUUCAGCUCUUAAAGGUUUCAGUAACGGACAAACUAUCCAGCCAAACCAACAUGAGGUCAAUGGAGAAGAAGGUCAUCAUGUUACUCUGUCCUGCAACUACCCCUUAGCCCGCGAUCUUCUAUGGUAUAAGCAGUAUCCAGGAUCAGCUCCCCAGUUCCUCCUACCCAUCCUUCACUCCACUGGGACAGGAGCUGAGCCUCUGGACUCUCGCCUGUCUGCCAAACAGAACACAGAGAAGACCUGUGUAGAGCUGGAAAUCUCCUCAGUUAAAGUGACAGACUCUGCUCUGUACUACUGUGCGCUGAGGCCCACAGUGACAGGAAACCCAGACACGCUGUACAAAAACCUCACUUUACCUGAAAGUGAAUUCAUGAUCUGUCAUUUCCCCUUUCCUUUGGUGAUAGUUCCAUCAAGUGGUUUCUGCAGUGUAUUACAGAAUGUCAAAAGUAGGCGUAUUCUGACCCUGACAUAAGAAACUGAUUCAUUUCCAAGAGUUGAUGUGAGGGAAGAUCACUGUUAACAAAACACCUUGUCUAACAAUAUGCAUUAUAAUUUUUUGCUAUUUUGCAUGUUUAUUGGUAAGAACUAAUUAAGGUCAUACGUGAUGUAUUAUGAUUAUUAAAAUAUUUUUUACAAGGUCUGACAUGUGCUAAA